rnacentral:tRNA from 1 species
UAUGUUUAAAGCUUUGUUUGGCGGUUUCAAUGUUAAUGAAAUGAAAGAGGGUGUACGAAG